rnacentral:rRNA from 1 species
CCUACGGGAGGCAGCAGUGAGGAAUAUUGGUCAAUGGACGAGAGUCUGAACUAGCCAAGUAGCGUGAAGGAUGACUGCCCUAUGGGUUGUAAACUUCUUUUAUAUGGGAAUAAAAUGUUCCACGUGUGGGAUUUUGUAUGUACCAUAUGAAUAAGGAUCGGCUAACUCCGUGCCAGCAGCCGCGGUAAUACGGAGGAUCCGAGCGUUAUCCGGAUUUAUUGGGUUUAAAGGGAGCGUAGGUGGAUUGUUAAGUCAGUUGUGAAAGUUUGCGGCUCAACCGUAAAAUUGCAGUUGAAACUGGCAGUCUUGAGUACAGUAGAGGUAGGCGGAAUUCGUGGUGUAGCGGUGAAAUGCUUAGAUAUCACGAAGAACUCCGAUUGCGAAGGCAGUUCACUGGACUGAAACUGACACUGAGGCUCGAAAGUGUGGGUAUCAAACAGGAUUAGAUACCCGGGUAGUC